GGCAAAAAUCACGCGGCCCGGCAAAAUCGAGCGCGGAAGGCGGCGGACCCUUCCUCUUCCCGAUCACACGCGCCUACGCCGCGCGACAAAGACCGCGCUGUCCACCUCCUCUCCUGCGGAAGGCGGCGGACCCUUCGCCGUCCAGUUCGCCCGCCUCUAGAGCCACUCCCGCAUGGCGGCAGCUUCAACGCCCAGAGCGGCCGCCAUCAACCGGCGCGAGUUCGUGCAACGGCGCCGGCGAACCCGUCUUGCGCUGCCAGGUAGCGGCUCGGCCGGUUGAGGCAGGAGGCGGGCCGGCUCGGCUGCCGCCGCCGGGACGCGCCGGGAGCGGGUUCGGCCGGCGACGCCGUGGCCCGCGCCGAGACGACGGUGCUCAAUCUGGAACUCAAUUCGAGCGGAGAUGACUUGUUAUGAUAUUGUCACGGCAAGUACUCAGGAGGACAUGGUCGCCGCAGUAAAAGAAGAAGACGCUACGGGUGUGUUGAUUUGCAUCCCGUGCUCCUAGCCGCAUCCAUGCCGCCCUGCUUGCCUGCUGGAAAUCGAGUUUGCAGCUCUGGAAUUACUGAAAUUUAGUUUGUUUUUCUUCUCUCACAUAGAUUGAUUUCGAGAUGGAAAGCUCCUAGCAAUCGUGAAGACUAGGAACAGGAGUGAUUUGUCUAACACUCUAACGUGAUGUCUUUGCUCGAGGCAAAUGUUGUGGUAACGGUCAUGGCACAUUUUCCCCUUUCCUUUAUUACAGGAAAAGGGACUUUGAAAUUUCUUUUCUCAUUAUUGUUAUUUAAUUAUCUCAUUCAGGCUUAGACCAAUUUUUUCGAUCACUGGCAAUAUAGGUAACUAGGAUUGUUCAGUUCUUGUUCCAUUACAAUGAACUGAAAACAUUGGAAUACUUGUGUUUAGAUUGCCAUUGUACAAUUAGUCAAAAAGAUAAACCUAGAAGCUUUUGCAUAUGCAGUAUGCUUUAUUACCAACACAUAUAUUGUUUUUUGAUUGCUUAAUUUUCAAUAUGUGAUGUUGCCAUAGCGUUAGCAUCGGCAUUAUUUGUUCAGGGAUGCCAUAACAAUACUCAUGUACAGGUGGCGAAUAUUGGUUUAUACUUGAUUGUGUUACCUGCCUUCGGAGCAAGAAUACUGAGACGUUACUCUUCAGGUGAUAGAAGGAAAAAAAAACUUUCUGUCAACACUAAUGAGGUUGUACCAUUUGGAGCAGCCAUGCAGGUAAUGGAUAUGCUUGGUCCCCGCCUUUGGGAUGUGUGGAAUUCAAUGGGAUAGGCGACCUUUGAAGGAGCUGAGGUUGUUCCUUGGUACAUGCAUGCUCCUGUUUCAUCUUCAAAGGAGGGUGGAAGGCACAGGGAAAAGAGAAGUUGAUUUCAGAGAGGUGUCAAGGGAUGAGCUGGAAUUCCUCCUAGAUCAUGCGUUGUGGUUCAAUGCUCUAAACAAAAGGCUAACCAAAUCAUGCCUAUAGUCUAUUCAUAUAUACAUGGCAAUGAUGUAUUUUCAGCAAUCCAUGCCUAUGAAAUUUUCCUAAUCUAUACAUGUGGCCAUUACAUUGUUAUUUUUUUUUGUUUCUGCAUAUUUCUUCCAUUUAUAUGAUGUUAGUUCCAUUUAAUUUAUCAACAUAUCCCAUUGACAUCUAAAUUAAAACACAUUCAAUAUGUGGAAUUGUGUAGAUGGAUUUGCAAGAGAAGAUACGCAAGCUAUUUGCUCGGGCUCCUGGUCUUAUUCUUUUUGAAACAUGGGCCAACUUACUAGUGAUUCAAGACCCACAACUAACAAGUCUACUAGUGAGUUUUUGCAUCACUGCUAGGAGACAAGGUAGAUC